GCUGAAAUGUUUCUCUUCCUGGCUCCAUGGAAUUGCAGUCACAUGGAUCUUGAAUCGUAUUGCUUAAUCUAUGUCAUGCUUUGUGAGUGGUGCCAGAAAAAAUUGUGAACAUCACCAUUAGGAUUGAUUUCUCUUUCUAAUCCACAACAACUACUGCACUCGCUGCCUGCCUGCAGUCCGUGGGGAAGCUGUCUGCUAUAAGGGAAAACACAGGCAUGUUCACUGAUGCACAAGGAGCUCCACAGCAGCUGAGAAAGCUCAUUCUCUUGAGCCAGAUGUCAUCUCAGUCAUGUUACUAAUGCCCACCACUGUUGAGCAAAUCUCACGACCAAGUGUCUGAAUGCAGGCAUUUAUGAAAAAAAACUUCAAUAUUGAAGCAAACCAUUAUUGGGAGUUUACAACAUUGCAUUUGGACAAAGUACUUUUGAGAAGAUAGAAAUAAGAGAGAAACAAACAAGACCAAAAUAGGUAUUAAUUUUCUGACAGAUCUUUGUCCUAGGGCUGUGCUGUUUCCAUACCCAUAUAAAAAGGAAACUGCAUGGAAACCAGAAGUACACUUUGAAAUUUUUGGAAACACAUGGAUUUUUCAUCCUCUCCUUGAAAAGUGUGCUCUGCAUCUCCAGUAAUUAAAACAUUUCAGAGGAGGAAAAUAAACAGAGUUAAGAAUAGAGUGAAAAUCUCAGUGGGAAAAAAAGGAUCAUUUUAUCACUCUCUCUUCAACAGUGCUCUGUAAUCCUUUCAUCAACUUCUUUGUAAU